AACGAACGCUGGCGGCAUGCCUAACACAUGCAAGUCGAACGAGAUCUUCGGAUCUAGUGGCGCACGGGUGCGUAACGCGUGGGAAUCUGCCCCUUUCUUCGGAAUAACAGUGAGAAAUUACUGCUAAUACCGGAUGAUGUCUUCGGACCAAAGAUUUAUCGGCCAGGGAUGAGCCCGCGUAGGAUUAGGUAGUUGGUUGGGUAAUGGCCUACCAAGCCGACGAUCCUUAGCUGGUCUGAGAGGAUGAUCAGCCACACUGGGACUGGGACACGGCCCAGACUCCUACGGGAGGCAGCAGUGGGGAAUAGUGGAAAAUGGGCGAAAGCAUGAUCCAGCAAUGACGCGUGAGUGAUGAAGGCCUUAGGGUUGUAAAGCUCUUUUACCAGGGAUGAUAAUGACAGUACCUGGAGAAUAAGCUCCGGCUAACUCCGUG
rnacentral:rRNA from 1 species